UACCCUUGACAUGUCUGGAAGCCUGCUGAAAGGUGGGUGUGCCUGAAAGGGAACCGGAACACAGGUGCUGCAUGGCUGUCGUCAGCUCGUGUCGUGAGAUGUUGGGUUAAGUCCCGCAACGAGCGCAACCCUUGUCCCUAGUUGCUACGCAAGGGCACUCUAGGGAGACUGCCGGUGACAAACCGGAGGAAGGUGGGGAUGACGUGUCGCAACUAACCA
rnacentral:misc_RNA from 1 species